CAAAAGGAGAACUCAGGAAUCCAGGCAGCUGAAGAUUGCAGCGCUGCAGGCGAUGUCAAGGACAAAACCUGUGCGUCUGUGGAACGGUGCUGGGCAAGGGGGGAAACGGAAAGCCUCCGCAGAAGCUGAUGCCAGUGGCCUUCCUCUGAAGUGCA